AAGAGAAGGAACAGAAGAAAGGG
rnacentral:piRNA from 1 species